rnacentral:rRNA from 1 species
GAUGAACGCUGGCGGCGUGCUUAACACAUGCAAGUCGAACGGGAAACCUUUUAUUGAAGCUUCGGCAGAUUUAGCUGGUUUCUAGUGGCGGACGGGUGAGUAACGCGUGGGUAACCUGCCUUAUACAGGGGGAUAACAGUCAGAAAUGGCUGCUAAUACCGCAUAAGCGCACGGAGCUGCAUGGCUCAGUGUGAAAAACUCCGGUGGUAUAAGAUGGACCCGCGUUGGAUUAGCUGGUUGGUGGGGUAACGGCCCACCAAGGCGACGAUCCAUAGCCGGCCUGAGAGGGUGAACGGCCACAUUGGGACUGAGACACGGCCCAGACUCCUACGGGAGGCAGCAGUGGGGAAUAUUGCACAAUGGGGGAAACCCUGAUGCAGCGACGCCGCGUGAAGGAAGAAGUAUCUCGGUAUGUAAACUUCUAUCAGCAGGGAAGAUAAUGACGGUACCUGACUAAGAAGCCCCGGCUAACUACGUG